UUUGUAUUUUCAUGUGUGUUGCUUUUGUGUUGGCUGGCCUCCAGGAAGGAGGUAGCACUUUCAAGAGCACAUCAGCUGUGAUUGUAUAAGGAGGAUACAAGCUUGCCCUAGGGUCACCCUUGGAUAAGUAUUCAGGUUUCUCAGGCAGUGGGCAGGGUCAUAGAGCUCCCAAAAGAUUAUGUUCUUUGUAUUCUGGCUACCAGGGUGAGUAGAGAAAGACCAUCAAGUGGGAGCAGGGUUAGGCAUGUCUGAGCUCAGUCUCUCUUGGGCAGGGCUUGCUGUGGCUGCUGUGGCAGAUUGGGGUGUGGUUCACAGGCCAGUGCAGUUAUGUUCCUUGGGGGAUUAUGGCUGUCUGUUCUGCAUCACACAGGUUGCCAGGGAAAUGGGGGAAAGAUGGCAGCCACAGACCUCACCCACCUCCCACUCAGCCCAUGGCCUGAAAGGCCAGUUUCACUCCCACCAUGCCCCCAGCCCCACCCAAAAGCACUGAGUUUAUUUCUAGGCAGCUGAUGAGCAGGACCGAGAACUUGCCCCAGGCUACAAGCCUCCCAGCUGAGAAAGCAAGGGGACUCACAGUUCCUUGGCUGCCCAUGGAGCCUGCAGUGGCAAUCAACUGUCUUCAACGCAUCUGUGGAUUCUCUCAGCUUUCCUGGAGGAAGAGCAGAAUAUCUAUUUUUAAUCGCUGUUGAAAGAACUAACCAAGAUAACUCACAGAAUAUGUCUGGCCUAGAAUAAAAUUUUAAUAAAUAUAAA